UCAAAUCAAUAUUCUUCUGAAAUCAGCGUAUAUCUAAUCGCAUCAGUAGUUAUUUCAUUUGCUUUAUAUUUGAUGAAUUGUUGAGUUCGUUGUAAAAUUUUCGAAGUUAGGGAUUUGCUUUAAUCCAUCGACGUUCGUUUGGCUGCUGAGGAAACAGAACAGGAGGAAAGAAAAUCAUAGAAAUGAAAACCAGAAACUUUCAAGUUUUGACUUUCGUGUUAUUUUGAUUGCCAAUAAUGAAAACCGCACCUCAAUAAUCCUAGCUGUUCUAUUAGACUCUGGCGGUUUUAAUUUUAAUUUUCCUGGGUUUCAAACGAUAGAAACUUGUGAGGAUGGAGAGUCUUUGAUUUUGCACUUUGAUUGCUUUUUAUUUCCGCGAUCAAAUGAAGCAUUACUUCUGGUUGUUGCUUGCUGACUAGCGUUGUUUUCGUUCUAGACUCUGGACAUGAAGGUCAGUUGAAACUAAGCGUGUUUCUUUUUCCACAAAAAAAGGAACUAAAAAGGUAUUUGGGCUCUGAUACUGUGGCAGCUUGUUUUUAAGGUUUUCAGUGGAAUAAAAUUGUGAAGUCCCUGUCCUUCUGAUAAUGUGCAUUAUGUCUCAUUUGAUAUAAUCUGAUCAGCUCAUUAGUGGGAUAUAUUGCUGAAUAUAAGUUGGGAAGAGCUGAAGAAAGGAGCCGUAUUUAUUGCCAAUAUUUUUAUGGUUUUUUCCCCUUCAACUCUAUUGGACUACAAUGGCUGUUACCUCUCAAGAACCAGUACGUGAGAAUCAAACUGAUAGGCAUCCCUUGCUCAUGGAGCAGCCAGAGAACAAUGAGAGUCAUGAGCACAUUGUUGAUGUAGUACGGGGAACUGAUGCUUCCUCAUUGCGCUCAUCAGAUGAUCACUCUCCUCAUGAGUCAAGUGUACCCCAUGCUGAAGAAAGACAAUCAAGUCACAUUCUGGUCCCAAUAAACCAAUCAUCUUCCUCGUCUUCCAAUGGAUCUAACUCUAGGGUUUCAUCUUUAAUGAGGAGAAGUGAUGAGUUUGGCCCUCGACAAUGGAGCCCAUUUAACUGUGGUCUAUGGAUUUUUAUUGAAUUUGUUUUCACCAUUAGCCAGAUUAUAGCAUCCAUUGUUGUUUUGUAUGUGUCAAGACAUGAGAAACCGCAAGCUCCAUUAUUUUCCUGGAUCGUGGGUUAUGCUGCUGGACGUGCUGCAAGCCUUCCAGUUCUUUAUUGGCGUUGUCUUCGUCGCAGCCAGCGUAUUGAGCAAAGUUCAACUCAAUCUCAUCAGGGUUCUUCUCGAGACCACUCUAGGUUGGAACCUAAUUCUUAUAUAACUAUUUCAUUGACGCCAUCUUCAGAAGAGGAAGAUCGUCAGAAUGCAUCUACAGCCACUUCGAAUGGUCAGACCAUUGGUGCUCCAAAUCCUAGACUUGGCGCUCUAAUGGAUCACUACAAGAUGGCCUUGGACUGCUUCUUUGCUGUGUGGUUUGUAGUUGGCAAUGUAUGGAUAUUUGGAGGUCAUGCUUCCUCUUCUGAUGCUCCCAAUUUGUACAGGUUAUGUAUUGUGUUUCUUACCUUUAGUUGUAUUGGAUACGCUAUGCCUUUCAUUCUUUGCGCAAUAAUAUGCUGCUGCUUGCCAUGCAUAAUUUCUAUCCUGGGCCGUGAGGACCUGAAUCAGAUGAGGGGAGCCACUGCCGAAUCAAUUAAUGCUUUACCAACCUACAAAUUUAAGUUAAAGAAAGUUGGUAGUGGCUGCGGCAGAGCAAGCAGCGGAGAAGAUGAUUCAGGAUUUGAAGGUGGGGUUGUGGCUGCAGGAACAGAAAGGGAGCGGGCCAUCUCGGCGGAAGAUGCUGUUUGCUGCAUUUGCUUGGCAAGAUAUGUAGAUAAUGAUGAGUUGAGGGAGCUACCUUGUUCCCAUUUCUUCCAUACAGAAUGUGUGGAUAGAUGGCUGAAGAUCAAUGCAACUUGUCCCCUCUGCAAAUUUCAGGUUGGUGAGGGCAGUGAAGGCUUACCGGCUGUGGAGGACACCACUGAGCAAAUGUGAAAAUUUGAAAAAUUCAAAUCAUGGUGAAAAGCAAACAUAAAAUCUGAUCAGUUGCCAGGAUACAGCACUAGUGGCACCAGUGGGCAGUGGCAAACCCCACCAGCCACCUGCCAGAAAGUUUUGUGGCCCUCCUUCCUUAACAAGGCAUGGAGGGAAAAUUGGCGGCUCAGAUGAACCACCAUGCAAUUGAAGUAAUCAUCAUCCAAGUCCAAGCAACCUUGAAUUUGCUCGUGAAUGCUGCUUGGGAUUGCCUCAAACCAGAUCCGAAAGAAGAACAAGAUGAUUAUCCAGUUAAGGUAGAAGCAGAAGCUGGUGGGGAGUCUGCUGUGAUAGUUGCAUAUCAGCGCAGUUGCAUGUGUUUCUUUCCCAUACUACGGACGACAGAGUGCAGGCUCGCUGCAAGAUGUGUGGACUUAUUGGCACACUCUUUCUCACUGUCUUCAAUGUUAUUGUUGCAAGCUUGCUGCCAACAAACAGAAUGCAGGGUAGGCUGCAAGGUUUGUAAGCUCAUGGGCACUCUUCCUCACAGCCUUCCAUUGUUCUUUUUGCAUACUUGCAGCUGCUAUUGUUGCAGACUUGGAGCCAACAAAUGAAAUGAAGGGUAGGCUGCAAGGUUUGUGCUCAUCAUCACUUUCUUCCCCACUGUCUUCCAUAGUUCUGCUGCAAUUAACGCCAUAGCUGCUGACACCAAGCACCAUCAUCUUGCUUCUGUCCAUUUUUCAUCAUCUUUUAUUUUGUUUUUUGGUGUUUAAAUUAAUGUGCGUGUGGUCUAUUGGCAAUUGGUUGUGUUUUCUACCCACUGCAUGUUCUUUUGGUUUCUAGUCCCCCGUUGAUUUUGGGCUGGGGAAUCAAUUGGAAUCAAUCUUUGUGGGUUGGAUUCAGUGCAAUUUGGAGCCUGCCUAAAUAGAUCGGAAUUCAA